GGGGAAUGCAGUUUUCUGAUCCGAGCUGUGUAUUUACUCCAGCGCGUCUGCUCGAAUGUUUUCACCUUCUCUAUCGCGCCAAUUAGCUUGACCAAGCGGAUCUCUUCACUCUUGCCGGACGCGGCUGACAUCACUCCCUCUCUCCACUCUCAUAAAAAGGUGCCCCUGCCCUUCUCCAUCUCUCUCUCACUCAGUUUUUCCAAAUUCCUGUUCUCAACAAACCUAACUAACAAACUCCAUCGAUUCUCUUCAUUUAACUCCAUUUCCUUCAGUUUCUUCUUCUUUUGAUUUAUUUUAUGUACAGAAGGUGCGUCCAUGGAUCAGCUUGUCAAUAGAAAGUUGGAGUGAGAAAAUAGAUGGCUCAAUUCUGCGAUUCCAAUGGCUUUUCGAUUAAAGCCGAGUAUGAAGCUAAUGACGUUGAUUGGGUCAGUGAGCUCGAUUAUAUUCCAUUGGGGUUUCGGCGACAGCUGUUACUGGCAAGGAAGUUGAAUUCAUGCUCGCCUGACAGUCAAUCAACGUUAAGUGAUUUCUUUUGAAGCUCAUCUUUUUGUGUCUUUGUUAUUGAAACGUUUGUGGUUUGGUGCUUAAAAGGCUUUUAUGAGGUUUUUAAUUAUUAUUAUUUUUCAAUUAUGAAUUUACAGCCCUCAAACGAUCGUUAUAAAGAAGGGAAAUGAGGAACAGGAAAGUGAUUGGCAGCAGGUUUCCCCCAUCAAUAAAGACAUAGAUCAGCAGUCAGUGCAACCAGAAAGUCAUGAAACUAGAGCUUCUUCGGGAGUUGAUCCAGUAGUAGCGUGCAACAAAAUUCAGGUGGAUUGUGAUGCAGCUGAUAAAUGUGCACAAAAUGCAACUGCUUACCAACUGGCCAUGCAAGGAGAUUGUGACAGCUGUUGGACUAAAGUAAAUAGAAGCUUUUAUUCAGAUCAGAGUUUAUUAGGCGGCAGUAUGAUUGGCUCCAUUGGUGCUAAUGUUGAAGAACUGAAGCUCAAGAUUAAUAAUUCUGAUGACUUUGUAGAUGAUCUUGAUCACAUUGUACUAAAAGAGAGGCACAGGAUGCUGCUAUCAAGGAAAAUGUUGAGGAUUGAAAAGCCAAUUCUGGAGGAAACAUCAUAUGAUGCACUUGAUAGUGUACCUGCGAGCACAAAUAGCGUGUCUGGUUCAACCUUAUUGAAUUUGGUCCGAGUGAAGGCUGAACCAUUGAAUAACAAUGAAUCGAACAGCUCAAGCAGGAAUGCUAGUGGUAACUUUUCUUUUAACAUAGUACAAGCAAAGACUGAAAUUGAGUUCCCUGAUGAACUCAAUAGAGACAACAUAGAUCACAUGCAAUUGCGUAAUCGGAUGAAGUUGCUGACACCGAGAGAGGAUUCUAAAUUAAAUAGUUCAGGGAAUUUUGAAUGCUUGAGGAAAAGUGGCCCCUCUGUUGAUAAUGACCCUGCUGUCAUGGAAGCUUCAAACCCAAUAAGGAUCAACCGUCCACGGAAAAGGAAGAAGACUGCCACGGAUUCAAUUGAAACUGCUCUGGAGGAAGAUGCUCCUGGGCUUCUACAGGUCAUAGAUUCUUGCUUUUAUCUCUCCCGUGAAAUUCAAGUUAGUUGAGUUCUAUUCUGAGCUUUUUAUUUGGCAGGUGUUAGUUGAACAAGGGGUAUCAGUUGAUGAAAUUAAGCUUUAUGGAGUCGGAGACGCAGAUAAUGAUGAAGCCAUUGAUGAAUCAUUAAUUGAAGAUGGCUUUGCAGAGCUUGAAGAUGUGAUGUCAAAGAUAUUCUUUCAGCGCAACUCUUUUUUGAAGUUCGCUACUUUACGAUGCACCAAGGGUACAAAGGCCAGUUAUUGCUUAGCUUGUCUAUUCUCACUUGUGGAGCAGACACGAUAUCUACAAUUUCGUAGUUGGCCUGCUGAAUGGGGUUGGUGUCGAGAUAUCCAGUCAUUUAUAUUUGUCUUUGAAAGGCAUAGAAGAAUAGUGCUGGAACGUCCUGAGUAUGGCUACGCAACCUAUUUCUUUGAGCUGGUUGACUCCUUAUCCAUUGAUUGGCAGAUCAAGCGAUUGGUGACUGCCAUGAAACUUACAAACUGUGGCAGGAUUACCCUAAUUGAAAACAAAACAUUAUUGGUUGGAGAAGACUUAACUGAAGGUGAGGCACAGGUGUUAAUGCAGUACGGCUGGACACCAAAUAGUGGCAUAGGAACUAUGCUUAAUUACUGCGACAGAGUUGUACAUGACAGGAAGAAUGAGAAGGAGAGCUCAGAAUGGAGAUCAAAAAUAGGGAAGUUGCUGAUGGAUGGCUAUAAUGGGGGAAGUAUCGUCUCAUCCAACGUCCAGGAAAAUGUUAUACAAAGUGAGGUUGAUGAGGGGGAGGGCCCCCAGAUUAAGAUGGAGCUCUAAUUUAAGUCUUCGUUUUCCCUUUUCUUUGGGUGUGGUGGAUGCAACAUAUGCAAGAGCUCUAAUUAGUCUUUAGCAUGACCUAAACAUGUGUAAAUCGUUAGAUAAGCAAUCCAUAGGUUUUUGUACAGUUAAUUACAAGAAAUGAAACAAAUAUGUUCUAAUGAUUGUUUUCUUGUGGUUUAUUUUCUGAAAUAAUUAUUCCCUUCUUUUCCUUUGCGGAGAAAGAUAUUAGAAGUUUCCAUUUGGUUGGAUUUAGAAUUUCAAAAAAAAUGCAAAUUUUUUGGAAUUAAUUAAUU
rnacentral:misc_RNA from 1 species